GCAAUCAUAUGCUUUGGUUAGAUGAGACUAUCACUUUAGGUGGGUUCAGCAUGAUGCACAGGAUAACUAUGUGGAAAAACACAUCGGGUCCAUUGUUAAGUAAGGUGAAGGAUCUGCGGUGGACCUCUUUCUUGGAAGCUUUUUACAGCACGUGGCGUCAUAAUAUCUUUGAAAUUCAAGAACAUUUUAAUCAAAAAUCUGGUGUGCUUGGUCAAAAAACUGAGAAAUUGGUCACCAUUGGGUCAUUCAGCAGGAUAAUGAUCCAAAACAGAUAACCAAAUCAACACAUAACUGGUCCACCUACAACAAAUUCACCUUUCUUUCAGGUCAUCUCUGUCCCAAAAACAUCAUCGUUAGAAGAAACUGUUGGUCAUCAAUGUGCAAGAGGCAGGAUAAACUCUGGACACGAUGCGCUUGCCUAAGGCCAGAUUGGCCUAAUGUGCAUGUUUUGGACUGUAGGAGGAAGUCAUAGCAACAGGACAAAAACAAACAUGGUGAAAAUGUGCAAACACCACAAGAAAAGGCCCACGCCAGGAUUCAAAUGCAGGACAAGCCUCUAGUGCUUCAACUGUUUCUAACCUAAGGCUUUGUUUGCCAUGCUGAGGCUCAACUACGACCCAGAGGUUUCUGAGGAAUUAAGAUUAUCGUCUACUGGAAAUUUGAUCUACGUUUUUGUGGACUUCAUUCCCAACCACCUGUACUUUUCG